GACGAACCGUCCAAACGUUAUUCGGAAUCACUGGGCUUAAAGGGUGCGUAGGCGGAGAGGCAAGUCAGAGGUGAAAGCCCACGGCUCAACCGUGGAAGUGCCCCUGAAACGGCCUCUCUCGAGGGAGAUAGGGGCGUGCGGAACUCAGAGUGGAGCGGUGAAAUGCGUAGAUAUUCUGAGGAACACCGGUGGCGUAAGCGGCACGCUGGGUCUUUUAUGACGAUGAGGCGAGAAAGCUAGGGGAGCAAACGGG
rnacentral:rRNA from 1 species